CCCUUAGAUGUCCUGGGCCGCACGCGCGCCACACUGAGUGUCUGAGAUACGAGUCUGCCUAGCCGGCGAGGUCUAGGUAAUCGCUGAAAGACACAUCAUGCUUGGGAUAGAUUAUUGCAGAUAUUAAUCUUGAACGAGGAAUUCCUAGUAAGCGCAAGUCAACAGCUUGCGUUGAUUACGUCCCUGCCCUUUGUACACACCGCCCGUCGCUACUACUGAUUGGAUGUUUAAGCGAGGUUCUCGAACUGCUAGCGACUUAGCUUCGGUGAGGUCGCCGUGUGGGAAGUGAACCGAGCUUUGGUGUCUAGAGGAAGUAAAAGUCGUAUCA
rnacentral:rRNA from 1 species